ensembl:lncRNA
UACAUACAGGCAGCACAAGCGGAUACAAAGUGGUGUGGCAGUUAGAAAUUAAAUCAUCAAAAACUUAGAUAGGGAGACAUUCUAUCGGCCAAUUAACAGACUUACGGCCGAUUUACAUUGCAAUCCACGAGGAGACUGCGUGGCAGGUUGACCACCUGUUACGCGAGUGCAGCAUCAAAUGGACCAGGUGGCUGCAAGGAACCAAGCGCGUCAGAAAUUACAGAGGCGCAGGCAACGAGCGAGGCAAUUUCUUCCUCAUUAAAAAUCUGCAGAAAUGAAGCAUCUGGGUGACACACACACACAGAUGCAGAGCGACGCUGGAGAGCUUUACUCACUAACACAACCUGACGAAGUAAUCAUAGUCAUGGACAUUGAUUCCCUUUCUCUCGCUUUCUUAUAUAUCUAUCAUAUCUUUCUCUAUCUCAUUUCUCCUUUUUUUUGUUUCAACAAAUUCACUCUCAUUUUCCAUCUCCACUCUCUCUUCUCUCCCUCUCUCUUAUCCCCUCUCUCUUGCUUCUUCUCUCCCCCUUUCCCCUCUCGUCUCUCUCCCUCCCCUCUCUCUAGCCUUCUCUCCCUCCUCUCUUUCUUCAUCAAUCUCUCCCUCCCAUCUCUCUUCAUCCUUCUCUCUCUCCCAUCUCCCUCUUCCAUCUCUGUGUUCACAUCAGAUGCUGUAAGCCUAUACACAGGGCAUUGCAGCCCAACCCAGUUUUCAGCAGCCCUCUUGUUUGUUCUUUGUUUCCUCCCUCUGUCUCCUUCUCCCUCAUCCUCUCUCUCUGAGCUGUUUUCUGGGUGGGGGUGGAGAGGUAAUGCGAUGCAGAGAGAGAGAACUGGAGCGAGACUGAGCCCUAUCUCAGUCAGAGAGAACACAGAGGUUCACACAGGGCUGGGUUACACCUCCCUGAGCCUGCUCGCACACACACGCACACACACAUAUACAUUACAUACUGUAUAAAUAUACAGACACACAUUCAUUGCGGCUGGCAAUUUCCAUUUUCCUUUUGUGUGGAUACAGUGCAUUCAGAAAGUAUUCCUACCCCUUGACUUUUUCCACAUUUUGUUUUGUUACAGCCUGAAUUCAAAAUGGAUUUUAAAAAAUAAAUAAUUCUCACCCAUCUGCACACAAUCCCCCAUCAUGACAAAGUCAAACAUGUCUUUUUUAAAGUUUUACAAAUGUAUUGAAAAUGAAAUAUAGAAAUAGAUCAUUUACAUCAGUAUUCACACUGCUGAGUUAAUACUUUGUAGAAGCACCUUUGGCAGCAUUUACAACUGUGUGUCUUUCUGGGUAAGUCUCUAAGAGCUUUCCACACCUGUAUUGUGUAAUAUUUGUCUAUUAUUCUUUUCAAAAUUCUUCAAGCUCUGUCAAAUUGAUUGUUGAUCACUGCUAGACAACCAUUUUCAGGUCUUGCCAUAGGUGUUCAAGUAGAUUUAAGUCAAAAGGAACAAUCACUGUCUUGGUAAGCAACUCCAGUUAAGAUUUGGCCUUGAGUUUAAGGUUAUUAUCCUGUUGAAAGGUGUAUUCAUCUCUCAGUGUCUGUUAGAAAGCAGACUGAAACAGGUUUCCUCUAGGAUUUUGCCUGUGCUUAGUUCCAUUCAAUGUACUUUUUAUCCUGAAAAACUCCCCAGUCCGUAACGAUUACAAGCAUACCCAUACCCAUUAUUAUAUGACUUUUUAAGCACAUUUUACUCCUGAACAUAUUUAGGCUUGCCAUAAGAAAGGAGUUGAAUACUUAUUUAGUCAAGACAUUUCAGCUUUUCAUUUUAAAUUAAUUUGUAAAAAUGUAGAAAAACAUAAUUACACUUUGACAUUACGGGGUACUGUCAGUUUCAUCAUAGCACUUGAUGGUUUUUGCGACUGCACUUGAAGAAACUUUCAAAGUUCUUGAAAUUUUCCGGAUUGACUGACCAUCAUGUCUUAAAGUAAUGACUGGCUGUCGUUUCUCUUUGCUUAUUUGAGCUGUUCUUGCCACAAUAUCGACUUGGUCUUUUACCAAAUAGGGCUAUCUUCUGUAUAACCUGUUAAUUUAAAUGCAUUGCAGGUGUCUACCUCAUGAAGCUGGUUGAGAGAAUGCAAAGAGUGUGCAAAGCUGUCAUCAAGGCAAAAGGCUAC